GACGAACGCUGGCGGCGUGCUUAACACAUGCAAGUCGAACGGAAAGGCCCUGCUUUUGUGGGGUGCUCGAGUGGCGAACGGGUGAGUAACACGUGAGCAACCUGCCCUUGACUUUGGGAUAACUUCAGGAAACUGGGGCUAAUACCGGAUAGGAGCUCCUGCUGCAUGGUGGGGGUUGGAAAGUUUCGGCGGGUGGGGAUGGACUCGCGGCUUAUCAGCUUGUUGGUGGGGUAGUGGCUUACCAAGGCUUUGACGGGUAGCCGGCCUGAGAGGGUGACCGGCCACGUUAGGACGGGGAUACGGCACAGACUCGUACGGGAGGCAGCGGUGGGGAAUAGUGCACAGUGGGCGGAAGGCUGGUGUGGCACCGCCGCGUGCGGGAUGUCGGCCUUCGGGUUGUGAACCGCUUUCGCCUGGGACGAAGCGUGAGUGACGGUAAUGAGAGAAGAAGCACCGGCUAACUACGUG
rnacentral:rRNA from 1 species